GUUCAAAAUGUAAAUGCACUGGGAAACAACGGAAGGCAAGAAAAGUAGCUACAACUUUCAAGUAGACACGUCAGAAAAGACCUCUAUCUGUCAUUUUUAAGACAAAUUAAAAGGAAGUGAUGCAGUCUGCCCGCAUGGUGGGUCCCUGGUGGGGGACAUAUGGAAGAUUUUCUUUGUGAUUGCAUACGGCCCAGCUUGAACAUGAGUGAAGGAAAUACACUGGACAUUUGCCACCAGUUUUAUGAUUUGUAUGUUCGAUUUUAGCCUACAUGUUGGUUAAAGUACAACAGAAUGGAUUCACAUGUUUCAGUAAGAACAAUGUAUUUAUUGUGAACAAGAGAGCAGUCCUG